rnacentral:misc_RNA from 1 species
CCAAGACUUCCAUCCAAGAAUCGCAGAGGAUUUGCCAAAUGUAGCAACCAAAAUGGCAAUAAUGGCGACAAGAACAAAACUAACAAGUCUUCUUUCUUCUCUUGUUAAUAAUAACAGUAACAAAAUCCUGAUUUCCUCAAAAUCCGGAACUCGCUCUUCUGGAUUCGCCCUGCAUUCGUCGUACGCUGCUGCGGCGGAUCCGGAUGUCGUUGGGGCGAGAGGAGUUGGGUUGCAGAUAUUGGGAGUGAAAGAUUAUGAGGAUUAUG